rnacentral:tRNA from 1 species
AAGACACUAGUAAAACAGACAUUACACUGCUUUGUCAAGGCAGAAUUGCGAGUUAGACCCUCGCGUGCCUUG